rnacentral:rRNA from 1 species
CCUACGGGAGGCAGCAGUGGGGAAUAUUGCACAAUGGGGGAAACCCUGAUGCAGCGACGCCGCGUGAGUGAAGAAGUAUUUCGGUAUGUAAAGCUCUAUCAGCAGGGAAGAAGAAAGACGGUACCUGACUAAGAAGCCCCGGCUAACUACGUGCCAGCAGCCGCGGUAAUACGUAGGGGGCAAGCGUUAUCCGGAUUUACUGGGUGUAAAGGGAGCGUAGACGGCUGUGCAAGUCUGAAGUGAAAGCCCAGGGCUCAACCCUGGGACUGCUUUGGAAACUGUGGAGCUAGAGUGCUGGAGAGGUAAGUGGAAUUCCUAGUGUAGCGGUGAAAUGCGUAGAUAUUAGGAGGAACACCAGUGGCGAAGGCGGCUUACUGGACAGUAACUGACGUUGAGGCUCGAAAGCGUGGGGAGCAAACAGGAUUAGAUACCCGAGUA